AGGAGUGGAGCCUGCGGCUUAAUUUGACUCAACACGGGAAACCUCACCAGGCCCGGACACCGGAAGGAUUGACAGAUUGAGAGCUCUUUCUUGAUUCGGUGGGUGGUGGUGCAUGGCCGUUCUUAGUUGGUGGAGCGAUUUGUCUGGUUAAUUCCGAUAACGAACGAGACUCUAGCCUGUUAACUAGGCGCACUUCCGACAUCUCAAAUACCCGCCGGUCCGGCGCGCGCCGUGACCGCGCGCGGUUUUUACUGUCGGCGUACAAAUUAUUCUUCUUAGAGGGACAGGCGGCUUCUAGCCGCACUAGAUUGAGCAAUAACAGGUCUGUGAUGCCCUUAGAUGUUCUGGGCCG
rnacentral:rRNA from 1 species